GAGGACGACGCGGGGUGCCCCACCAGGGGGCUGAGAACAGACCCGUCGAACCUGAUCUCGUUCACGCGAGCGGAGGGACGUCGCCAUGCAGCACG
rfam:Kytococcus sedentarius DSM 20547, complete genome.